rnacentral:rRNA from 1 species
GAUGAACGCUGGCGGCGUGCCUAAUACAUGCAAGUCGAGCGGACGGGCGAGAAGCUUGCUUCUCUGAUGUUAGCGGCGGACGGGUGAGUAACGCGUGGAUAACCUCCCUAUAAGUCUGGGAUAACUUCGGGAAACCGGAGCUAAUACCGGAUGAUAUUUUGCACCACAUGGUUCAAAGGUGAAAGACGGUCUUGCUGUACCGUAUAGCUGGUUCCGCGCUGCUUUAGCUAGUUGUGAAGGUCACGGCUUACCAAGGCAACGAUGCAUAACCGAACUGAGAGGGGGAUCGGCGACAUGGGAAGUGGAACACGGUCCUGAGUCCUGCGGGAGGCACCAGAAGGGAAUGUUACGCAGUGGGCGAAAGCCUGACGGAGCAACGCGGCGUGAGUGAUGAAGGUGUUCGGAGCGGAAAACUGGGUUUUGGGGGAAAAACAGAUGUGGAAUGAAAUGUGCACAGCUUGACGGUACCGAAUCAGAAAGCCACGGCUAACUACGUG